rnacentral:rRNA from 1 species
AGCCAGACUCCUACGGGAGGCAGCAGUGAGGAAUAUUGGUCAAUGGGCGGGAGCCUGAACCAGCCAAGUCGCGUGAGGGAAGAAGGUACUGAGUAUUGUAAACCUCUUUUGCCAGGGGACAAAGGCGGCCACGGGUGGCCGUAAGAGGGUACCUGGAGAAAAAGCAUCGGCUAACUCCGUGCCAGCAGCCGCGGUAAUACGUAGGUGGCAAGCGUUAUCCGGAUUUAUUGGGUGUAAAGGGCGUGUAGGCGGGAAUGCAAGUCAGAUGUGAAAACUAUGGGCUCAACCCAUAGCCUGCAUUUGAAACUGUAUUUCUUGAGUGCUGGAGAGGCAAUCGGAAUUCCGUGUGUAGCGGUGAAAUGCGUAGAUAUACGGAGGAACACCAGUGGCGAAGGCGGAUUGCUGGACAGUAACUGACGCUGAGGCGCGAAAGCGUGGGGAGCAAACAGGAUUAGAUACCCUCGUACC